UACAGAGGUCUCAAGCGUUGUUCGGAUUCAUUGGGCGUAAAGGGCGCGUAGGCGGCGGGGUAAGUCGGGUGUGAAAUCUCAGGGCUCAACCCUGAAACUGCACUCGAUACUGCUUUGCUUGAGGACUGGAGAGGAGACUGGAAUUCACGGUGUAGCAGUGAAAUGCGUAGAUAUCGUGAGGAAGACCAGUGGCGAAGGCGGGUCUCUGGACAGUUCCUGACGCUGAGGCGCGAAGGCCAGGGGAGCAAACGGG
rnacentral:rRNA from 1 species